AGCGAACGCUGGCGGCAGGCCUAACACAUGCAAGUCGAACGAACUCUUCGGAGUUAGUGGCGGACGGGUGAGUAACACGUGGGAACGUGCCUUUUGGUUCGGAAUAACUCAGGGAAACUUGUGCUAAUACCGAAUGUGCCCUUCGGGGGAAAGAUUUAUCGCCAUUAGAGCGGCCCGCGUCUGAUUAGCUAGUUGGUGAGGUAACGGCUCACCAAGGCGACGAUCAGUAGCUGGUCUGAGAGGAUGACCAGCCACACUGGGACUGAGACACGGCCCAGACUCCUACGGGAGGCAGCAGUGGGGAAUCUUGCGCAAUGGGCGAAAGCCUGACGCAGCCAUGCCGCGUCAAUGAUGAAGGUCUUAGGAUUGUAAAAUUCUUUCACCGGGGACGAUAAUGACGGUACCCGGAGAAGAAGCCCCGGCUAACUUCGUG
rnacentral:rRNA from 1 species